rnacentral:rRNA from 1 species
UCACGAAUCAUUGGCAAUGCGCGCAAGCGUGACCAUGCAAUGCCGCGUGGGCGAUGAAGGCCUUCGGGUUGUAAAGCCCUGUCAGGGGUGAGGAAACGUGCGGGUUCACUCGCAUUUGACGUUAGCCCCAGAGGAAGUCACGGCUAACUCCGUGCCAGCAGCCGCGGUAAUACGGAGGUGGCAAACGUUGCUCGGAAUCACUGGGCUUAAAGGGCGUGUAGGCGGCCGUCUAAGUCGGAUGUGAAAUCUCUCGGCCUAACCGAGAAACUGCAUUCGAAACUGGACGGCUAGAGUGCGGGAGGGGCAAGUGGAACUCCAGGUGUAGCGGUGAAAUGCGUAGAUAUCUGGAGGAACGCCGGUGGCGAAAGCGACUUGCUGGACCGCAACUGACGCUGAGGCGCGAAAGCUAGGGGAGCGAACGGGAUUAGAUACCCCUGUAGUCC